AAUUACCCAUGAUAGUCGGACACUCUCCCUUGUGGCGUAUGUGCCGUCAUUUUCAUUGAAAAUUUCGAAAGGACGUGGGCAAAAAAAAGUAGUUGUCCCUUAUUUAGGGUAAUUAAACUACCUUUGUGUGGAAUUUCGUGUCCACCCGAACAUAUGGGCAUAUUGCGAAGCAUUUAAUAAACGUCACCCUGUCCGAGUGCAUAAAAUGGGACAUUUUGGCACUUGUCGACGAUAUCGGUAGAGUUGACAGCCUACUCUCGCAGACUUUGAAUAUGCCAUUGGCCUCUUGGUGACUUCUCUGAUCCUCUCCUCCUUGCUUGGCCGUCCAGUUUGGAGGAACGGCCUGAUGUACAUAAGAUCGUGUGGGGCACUUCUACCGUCAACUUUUUUAUGGACUGUGUUCCAACGGAAAUUUAAGUCCUUUUAUAUCUUUUAAUCCCUUUGCACUGAUGACAAAUCUGUCCUACUUAUGUAUUUAUAUGUGCACUAGAUGUAAGCAUCACAGCGACAUGGAAAAUAGCUUAAAUGAAGCAAGUGUAUCAUUUAUGUAUAAUUUAUAAUGCAAACUUUACUUUAUUUUCAUAAAUUGCAUAUAACACAGUGCCACAAGCAUAAAGAAAUUUAGUAGAAAAUGUUAAAGUGAAGUUGCUCUUCUUUAGUUUGCAAUGAACUACUGAGAGUCUCAGUAAACUCCUUUAUCACAAGUAUGCAAAAUCUAAGGGUACUAUGCAGAACUACUAAAGUUCUCUGGGAAGCAAAAUGUAAUCAAUGUACCCUGGUGUCCCUUGGUGUCUCCAGAUCUAUCCAGAAUGGCUCAAUGGUGCAUUGAUGUAAGUAAUAAAAUAAUCAUAUUUAAUUACAAAUCAACUAUUUUGAUUCAUGAAAUUCACUUUUGCAUCCUUUUCAAGUGGAAAUUAUAGAGGGUGGAUAUCUCGGGAUCCAAAAACCUCUCAGAAAAUGAUUUAAAUGCAUUUUGUUCAUUAUAAAACAUUUAAAAUUGCCCAUUUUUCACCAGGACCUCUGGAGAAAUGUUAUAAUAGGAGCAAUAAAAUGGAGAUGACAUGAUGCGAAAGCAUUGUAACACACUUUGAUACACACAUCUAAAUACGUAAUUAUACACUCCUGUACUUCAAUAAAACACCAUGUUUGUCUGUACUCUACAGUAUGUAAUAUUUUGUUGCAUACCCAGGGAUAACAUUUCCGUUAUGGGUUUCACAAAUGUUGCUAUUUAUAAUCAUUCAAUGGGAAAUUUUACAUUCAUCUAGCACAUAUGAGCAGAGAAAAUUUGAUUAACUACUUUCCAUGCUCAUGGAGACACUAAUACCCCAUAGUCUAGCUUAUGUACAAUGAAAAGAUAAUAUGCCACCAUCAGGAAAAUGCUGCCAAUGUUCUAGCUUCACAGCAGAAUGGUGCAUCAAACAUAAGACGAGAGCCACCAAUGAAUGCUUAUACCGCAGAAUAUGACAUGUCUUCUUUAAAGAAUAGCGCUAACCUCGUGAAAGACACUCAAUUUAAUUGUGAAAGGUAUGAAUUCUGACAAAAUUGACCACAAAAAGUCACUUCAAUAACAGUGAUUACCUGUUAGCUAGCUCGCAAUACAAUAGUGAGUGUUAUUAGCAAAGGCAAAUCGGCAGUUGUCGAUUAUGACCAAUGUGAAUA